UGAGGAAUAUUGCGCAAUGGGGGCAACCUUGACGCAGCAACGCCGCGUGAGUGAGGAAGGUUUUCGGACCGUAAAGCUCUGUCGAGCGGGAAGAAAUGCAUGGUGGCUAAUAUCCAUCAUGCUUGACGGUACCGCUAAAGGAGGCACCGGCUAACUCCGUGCCAGCAGCCGCGGUAAUACGGGGGGUGCGAGCGUUGUGCGGAAUUAUUGGGCGUAAAGAGCGUGUAGGCGGCCGAAUAAGGCAGAUGUGAAAGCCCUGGGCUUAACCCAGGACGUGCAUUUGAAACUAUUCGGCUAGAGUAGGGGAGAGGAAAGUGGAAUUCCUGGUGUAGAGGUGAAAUUCGUAGAUAUCAGGAGGAACACCGGUGGCGAAGGCGACUUUCUGGCCCUAUACUGACGCUGAGACGCGAGAGCGUGGGUAGCAAACAG
rnacentral:rRNA from 1 species